UACGUAGGGUGCAAGCGUUGUUCGGAAUCAUUGGGCGUAAAGCGCGUGUAGGCGGUUAGUUAAGUUGGAUGUGAAAUCCCUAGGCUCAACCAAGGAAGUGCAUUCAAAACUAAUUAGCUAGAAGAUGUUAGAGGAAGGUGGAAUUCCAAGUGUAGAGGUGAAAUUCGUAGAUAUUUGGAGGAAUACCGGUGGCGAAGGCGGCCUUCUGGGACAUUCUUGACGCUGAGACGCGAAAGCGUGGGUAGCAAACAGG
rnacentral:rRNA from 1 species